AAAACAAUAGGUUAAUUUCUCCAAACCUUUGCCGUUCAAAGGCAUAAAUGACUUAAAGUCUUGUUUUA
rnacentral:tRNA from 1 species